AACAUGUUUUUUUGAAAAUAAUUUAAAGUUUAAUCUGCCCACUGAUNAAAAUAUUAAAGGGCUGCAGUAUUUUGACUGUACAAAGGUAGCAUAAUCAUUAGUCUCUUAAUUGGUGACUUGUAUGAAAGAUUGGAUGAAAUAUAUACUGUCUCUAUUUAAUUUAUAAAAUUUAAUUUUUUAGUAAAAAAGCUAAAAUGAGUUUAAAAGACGAGAAGACCCUAUAGAGUUUAAUAAUUUAUUUAAUUAUUAUUAAUAUAUAAAUUUUAAAAUUAAGAUUAAAUAAUUUAUUUUAUUGGGGUGAUAGAAAAAUUAAAUUAACUUUUUUUUUAUUUUAUACAUUAAUUUAUGAAUAAAUGAUCUAUUAAUAAUGAUUAAAAGAAAAAAUUACCUUAGGGAUAACAGCGUAAUUUUUUUUUUUAGUUCAAAUAGAAAAAAAAGUUUGCGACCUCGAUGUUGGAUUAAGAUAAAAUUUAAAUGCAAAAGUUUAAAAUUUUAAUCUGUUCGAUCAUUAAAAUCUUA
rnacentral:rRNA from 1 species